CCUAGACUCCCACCCCACCCAACGUGAGCGACUGGGGGAGGGGCCCGCGCGUGCGCGCCUGGAGGCGGAGAGAGCCGGCUGCGCGCACCGCCCGGGGGCUCCCGCCAGAACCCAAACCCACGCACACAAGGGUCGCAAGGCUAGGCAGUCUUUCAUCCCUGCCGGUCAGGGAGCAACCCCCCACCACCACCAGACCGCGAAAGGCUGAGAUAAGGGAGAGCUAGUGCCGCCAGGUCCCAGCUCCUGACUGGAUAUGGUACGCGUGCGCAGACCGGCGGGAGGGGAGAGGAGACGCGCCCGGGCCCAGCGCCGGCCAGCCUGGCCCCCCUGAGCCUGUCUCUAUGGGCGCGCGCCGACAGCCUCGCGCACCGGCCCCGGGGCCCCGGCCGAAGGUGCGCGCGCAGCAUCCCGGGAAGGUGGGAGGGGAGGCGGUGGCGGAAAGAUGCGCGCGCAAUCACCCGUCAGGGGAGGGGGGAAACUGUGAGGCGUCCGCCAUCUUGUCUCCCUCUCCUUACCUGCGUCCUCGGGGGCGUGCGCACCACCCCCCCUCCCGCCGAGGAGGGGGGAGGGCCCCCUCUUGGCCGCCGCCUUCGCGGCCUUUAAAUUCCCCUGGGGCCCGCGGCUACUACCACCGCCUUGCUUCCACUGCUUCCUCUCGCGGCACAGUGAUGCAGGCGGGCGGUGGGAAAAGUGGAAGACGCUACUCGCAGCGAACCGCCGCCGCCGCUUCCGAGGCCUCACCAAAAUGGCCGCCGCCGUCUCGGCCGCCACCACCAACACCACCGCCACCACCACAGCUCACUAUCGCUACCGCCGGCGCGGCCCGUCUUCUCGCGAGAAACAGUAACUGGAGGUUGGGGGAGCGAGGAAGCUCGCGUGCUAGCGUAGGGCGCUGCCCGAAGCGCAAGGCCGGCUGGGAGAUGUAGUCCGCGCAGAGACAGCGCUUGCCCGCUACGACGCGUUUUUAUCCACUACGGAACCUGCCGCUGGAGCUGCAUUGCGGCUGCCAACUCGGUUGAGUCCGCCCCACUUUAAUAGAUCACCCAGAGUGCUAAAGCAAUUUCUCAGAUAAGUUCACAUCCAUGAGUGAAUACAGAUGUAAACCUUCACUGAAAUGUCCAUGUAAAAAUUGUAUAC
ensembl:lncRNA